UNAAAGAGAUAGGAGUUGAACCUACGUCUAAGGGAUCA
rnacentral:tRNA from 1 species